rnacentral:rRNA from 1 species
ACGGAGGGUGCAAGCGUUAUCCGGAUUCACUGGGUUUAAAGGGUGUGUAGGCGGGCAGUUAAGUCAGUGGUGAAAUCUCCAGGCUCAACCUGGAAACUGCCAUUGAUACUAUCUGUCUUGAAUAUCGUUGAGGUGGGUAGAAUAUGUCAUGUAGCGGUGAAAUGCAUAGAUAUGACAUAGAAUACCGAUUGCGAAGGCAGCUCACUAAGCGUGUAUUGACGCUGAGGCACGAAAGCGUGGGGAUCAAACAGGA